GAUACGAACGGAGAGACAUGGUUUAUGAUCUCGUAUCUUUUAGAUAUCAUGCCUUGAGAUGUUUGAGACCAGAGCGUUGGGUUUAGGGCAAGACCUAGGUUUACUUUCGGUUGAGGUUUGUGCGGUGACUAGCCGGCUAUCGUUUUUCCUGUUGCAAUUUCUUCCUGACUCGCACCGAUUUAAAGUCCGCGAUAUGUUCUCGG
rnacentral:lncRNA from 1 species